UACGAAGGGGGCUAGCGUUGCUCGGAAUUACUGGGCGUAAAGGGAGCGUAGGCGGACAUUUAAGUCAGAGGUGAAAUCCCGGAGCUUAACUUCGGAACUGCCUUUGAUACUGGGUGUCUUGAGUGUGAGAGAGGUAUGUGGAACUCCGAGUGUAGAGGUGAAAUUCGUAGAUAUUCGGAAGAACACCGGUGGCGAAGGCGGCCAACUGGUCCGACACUGACGCUGAGGCGCGAAAGCGUGGGGAGCAAACAGG
rnacentral:rRNA from 1 species